rnacentral:rRNA from 1 species
UACGUAGGGGGGCAAGCGUUGUCCGGAUUUAUUGGGCGUAAAGAGCGUGUAGGCGGUCAGGUAGGUCCGUUGUGAAAACUCGAGGCUCAACCUCGAGACGCCGAUGGAAACCAUCUGGCUAGAGUCCGGAAGAGGAGAGUGGAAUUCCUGGUGUAGCGGUGAAAUGCGCAGAUAUCAGGAGGAACACCGGUGGCGAAGGCGGGGUCUCUGGGCCGUAACUGACGCUGAGGAGCGAAAGCGUGGGGAGCGAACAGG